rnacentral:tRNA from 1 species
CCUUAGCUCAAUCGGUCAGAGCGGGAGACUCAUAAUCUCUAGGUUGCAGGUUCAAGUCCUGCAGGGUCC